GAAAUUGUCGUCCUCGGCCGACAGAAGUGCCUGAAUGAACUGUGGCGGAAUCUCCGAGAAGCGGAUCGGGGAGCGGCGCAUUUCGCCAAAUUCCGCGAUCAGCUUGCCGUCGCUGCUGAACACCUUGAGGGGGAUCUGCAACUGGAUGCUUCUGAGCGAAUCGACCGAAGGCAGGUUGGGGCUAAGAUACAGAAACGCGCCGCUCACACCGAGUACGAGCGCGCAGAUGGCUGCGACGGAAGACCACCAGAAGAACUUAAGCAGACGUAUCAAGGCUUUUCGGUGUCCA
rnacentral:antisense_RNA from 1 species